UGGGGAAUUUUGGACAAUGGGCGCAAGCCUGAUCCAGCAAUGCCGCGUGCAGGAUGAAGGCCUUCGGGUUGUAAACUGCUUUUGUACGGAGCGAAAAGGUCUGCCCUAAUACGGUGGGCUCAUGACGGUACCGUAAGAAUAAGCACCGGCUAACUACGUGCCAGCAGCCGCGGUAAUACGUAGGGUGCGCGCGUUAAUCGGAAUUACUGGGCGUAAAGCGUGCGCCGGCGGUGAUGUAAGACAGAUGUGAAAUCCCCGGGCUCAACCUGGGACCUGCAUUUGUGACUGCAUCGCUGGAGUGCGGCAGAGGGGGAUGGAAUUCCGCGUGUAGCAGUGAAAUGCGUAGAUAUGCGGAGGAACACCGAUGGCGAAGGCAAUCCACUGGGCCUGCACGGACGCUCAUGCACGAAAGCGUGGGGAGCAAACA
rnacentral:rRNA from 1 species